rnacentral:lncRNA from 1 species
UGGAAGGGUCCGUUUAAUGCCUGCCUUUCUUCCCGUUAGUCUGCUGCCAGAAACCUUGGUGGGGAGUAUGUGCUCCGCUCACUUGCUGAUAUUUUACCGACAAAUUCUUGGAGAUGUGCUCCUGAGAGACAGGACAAGCCUGCAAAGUGCUGAUUUAAUUAGUCACCCCGUGCUGGCCACCUUCCCUCUGCUCCUGGAGCAGCCCGAUGUGAUGGAUGCUCUCAGGAGUUCCUGGGCUGAGAAAGAAAGCACACUAAAGCGAUCGGAGAAGAGAGACAAAGAGCUCCUAAAGGCCGAGUUCCUCCUGGUCUACCAUGACUGCGUGCUCCCUCUUCUGCAUUCCACAUUGCUGCCCCCCUUUAGGUGGGCCGAGGAAGAGACAGAGGCUGCUAGAUGGAAAGCCAUCGCUGACUUCCUCAAGCAAAGCCGAGAGAACGAGGGUUCCCUGAAGGCUCUUCUGUCACCAGAUGGAGUUCACAAACCAUUUGACCUUUCAGAGCAGACCUAUGACUUCUUGGGUGAAAUAAGAAAGAACUCAGGCUAAUGAUGGCCAUGGCUCCCGAUUCCCACUGGACCCAGUGAGUUCCCCAGGAUGACUUGGCUCAAACAACAGAACCAAAAGAAACAGACUGGUUAGAACUUAGGUCAUAUUCUUUUGUGUGCAAAUAAUAUUUUCAAAAAACUAUCUAAUAAUUUGAUGCAUGUAAAACAAUAAAAUAAAUUUUAUAAGGAA